rnacentral:rRNA from 1 species
GGUAUCCUGUCUGAAUAUGGGGGGACCAUCCUCCAAGGCUAAAUACUCCUGACUGACCGAUAGUGAACCAGUACCGUGAGGGAAAGGCGAAAAGAACCCCGGCGAGGGGAGUGAAAAAGAACCUGAAACCGUGUACGUACAAGCAGUGGGAGCCUCUUAAUGGGGUGACUGCGUACCUUUUGUAUAAUGGGUCAGCGACUUAUAUUCUGUAGCAAGGUUAACCGAAUAGGGGAGCCGAAGGGAAACCGAGUCUUAACUGGGCGUUAAGUUGCAGGGUAUAGACCCGAAACCCGGUGAUCUAGCCAUGGGCAGGUUGAAGGUUGGGUAACACUAACUGGAGGACCGAACCGACUAAUGUUGAAAAAUUAGCGGAUGACUUGUGGCUGGGGGUGAAAGGCCAAUCAAACCGGGAGAUAGCUGGUUCUCCCCGAAAGCUAUUUAGGUAGCGCCUCGUGAAUUCAUCUCCGGGGGUAGAGCACUGUUUCGGCAAGGGGGUCAUCCCGACUUACCAACCCGAUGCAAACUGCGAAUACCGGAGAAUGUUAUCACGGGAGACACACGGCGGGUGCUAACGUCCGUCGUGAAGAGGGAAACAACCCAGACCGCCAGCUAAGGUCCCAAAGUCAUGGUUAAGUGGGAAACGAUGUGGGAAGGCCCAGACAGCCAGGAUGUUGGCUUAGAAGCAGCCAUCAUUUAAAGAAAGCGUAAUAGCUCACUGGUCGAGUCGGCCUGCGCGGAAGAUGUAACGGGGCUAAACCAUGCACCGAAGCUGCGGCAGCGACGCUUAUGCGUUGUUGGGUAGGGGAGCGUUCUGUAAGCCUGUGAAGGUGGCCUGUGAGGGUUGCUGGAGGUAUCAGAAGUGCGAAUGCUGACAUAAGUAACGAUAAAGCGGGUGAAAAGCCCGCUCGCCGGAAGACCAAGGGUUCCUGUCCAACGUUAAUCGGGGCAGGGUGAGUCGACCCCUAAGGCGAGGCCGAAAGGCGUAGUCGAUGGGAAACAGGUUAAUAUUCCUGUACUUGGUGUUACUGCGAAGGGGGGACGGAGAAGGCUAUGUUGGCCGGGCGACGGUUGUCCCGGUUUAAGCGUGUAGGCUGGUUUUCCAGGCAAAUCCGGAAAAUCAAGGCUGAGGCGUGAUGACGAGGCACUACGGUGCUGAAGCGACAAAUGCCCUGCUUCCAGGAAAAGCCUCUAAGCAUCAGGUAACAUCAAAUCGUACCCCAAACCGACACAGGUGGUCAGGUAGAGAAUACCAAGGCGCUUGAGAGAACUCGGGUGAAGGAACUAGGCAAAAUGGUGCCGUAACUUCGGGAGAAGGCACGCUGAUAUGUAGGUGAAGCGACUUGCUCGUGGAGCUGAAAUCAGUCGAAGAUACCAGCUGGCUGCAACUGUUUAUUAAAAACACAGCACUGUGCAAACACGAAAGUGGACGUAUACGGUGUGACGCCUGCCCGGUGCCGGAAGGUUAAUUGAUGGGGUUAGCGGUAACGCGAAGCUCUUGAUCGAAGCCCCGGUAAACGGCGGCCGUAACUAUAACGGUCCUAAGGUAGCGAAAUUCCUUGUCGGGUAAGUUCCGACCUGCACGAAUGGCGUAAUGAUGGCCAGGCUGUCUCCACCCGAGACUCAGUGAAAUUGAACUCGCUGUGAAGAUGCAGUGUACCCGCGGCAAGACGGAAAGACCCCGUGAACCUUUACUAUAGCUUGACACUGAACAUUGAGCCUUGAUGUGUAGGAUAGGUGGGAGGCUUUGAAGUGUGGACGCCAGUCUGCAUGGAGCCGACCUUGAAAUACCACCCUUUAAUGUUUGAUGUUCUAACGUGGGCCCCUUACCGGGGUUGCGGACAGUGUCUGGUGGGUAGUUUGACUGGGGCGGUCUCCUCCUAAAGAGUAACGGAGGAGCACGAAGGUUGGCUAAUCCUGGUCGGACAUCAGGAGGUUAGUGCAAUGGCAUAAGCCAGCUUGACUGCGAGCGUGACGGCGCGAGCAGGUGCGAAAGCAGGUCAUAGUGAUCCGGUGGUUCUGAAUGGAAGGGCCAUCGCUCAACGGAUAAAAGGUACUCCGGGGAUAACAGGCUGAUACCGCCCAAGAGUUCAUAUCGACGGCGGUGUUUGGCACCUCGAUGUCGGCUCAUCACAUCCUGGGGCUGAAGUAGGUCCCAAGGGUAUGGCUGUUCGCCAUUUAAAGUGGUACGCGAGCUGGGUUUAGAACGUCGUGAGACAGUUCGGUCCCUAUCUGCCGUGGGCGCUGGAGAACUGAGGGGGGCUGCUCCUAGUACGAGAGGACCGGAGUGGACGCAUCACUGGUGUUCGGGUUGUCAUGCCAAUGGCACUGCCCGGUAGCUAAAUGCGGAAGAGAUAAGUGCUGAAAGCAUCUAAGCACGAAACUUGCCCCGAGAUGAGUUCUCCCUGAGACUUAGAGUCUCCUGAAGGAACGUUGAAGACGACGACGUUGAUAGGCCGGGUGUGUAAGCGCAGCGAUGCGUUGAGCUAACCGGUACUAAUGAACCGUGAGGCUUAACCUUACAACGCCGAAG